UACGUAGGGUGCAAGCGUUAAUCGGAAUUACUGGGCGUAAAGCGUGCGCAGGCGGUGAUGUAAGACAGGUGUGAAAUCCCCGGGCUCAACCUGGGAACUGCAUUUGUGACUGCAAGGCUAGAGUACGGCAGAGGGGGAUGGAAUUCCGCGUGUAGCAGUGAAAUGCGUAGAUAUGCGGAGGAACACCAAUGGCGAAGGCAAUCCCCUGGGCCUGUACUGACGCUCAUGCACGAAAGCGUGGGGAGCAAACAGG
rnacentral:rRNA from 1 species